rnacentral:rRNA from 3 species
GACGAAGGAUGCAAGCGUUAUCCGGAUUCAUUGGGUUUAAAGGGAGCGUAGGUGGACUUGUAAGUCAGUGGUGAAAUCUUUGGGCUUAACCCAGAAACUGCCAUUGAUACUGCAGGUCUAGAGUACAGUUGCCGUUGGCGGAAUAUGACAUGUAGUGGUGAAAUACUUAGAUAUGUCAUAGAACACCGAUUGCGAAGGCAGCUAACGAAGCUGUAACUGACACUGAGGCUCGAAAGUGCGGGGAUCAAACAGG